rnacentral:rRNA from 1 species
UACGGAGGGUGCAAGCGUUAUCCGGAUUUACUGGGUUUAAAGGGUGCGUAGGCGGGUUGGUAAGUCAGUGGUGAAAUACUUUCGCUUAACGAAGGAACUGCCAUUGAUACUAUCAAUCUUGAAUGUAGUGGAGGUAGGCGGAAUGCGGCAUGUAGCGGUGAAAUGUUUAGAUAUGACGCAGAACACCAAUUGCGAAGGCAGCUUGCUACACUACUAUUGACACUGAGGCACGAAAGCGUGGGGAUCAAACAGG